rnacentral:misc_RNA from 1 species
AACCAUUCUCACCUGCGGCUAGACCUGCGGAGGGAUCAUUACCGAGUGUGGCCCCCUUUCUAUAAUAAGAGGGGUACCUCCCGUCCUUUGCAGGCCCUUUUAGGGGCUUUUUGACUUUACUUCGGUGGGGUUACCCCGCCGGAAUACCCUCAACAAAAUCUUUUUAUGAACUUUGUUGUCUGAGUUGCUUGCGAAUAAAAUCAAAACUUUCAACAAUGGAUCUCAGAUCGGAAGAGCACA